GGCAAGGGGGGGCACUUGCCUCCCCCCCUGCAUUUUUCAGCUUGUUCUGCUAAUUUUCGUGAGAUUGAAAAUACAGUGCAAUACCGGCGCCGGCCAGUAGGUGUUUAUGGAGAGAGACUGGGAUAGGAAGCUGCAUCUUAUCCCUGCUUCUCUCUGACUGAAUCCGCAGGGGAGCAACACAUACAGGCAGCAGAGAGAGCCUACAUAUCAGGGAAGUGAGGC